rnacentral:rRNA from 1 species
AGAGUUUGAUCCUGGCUCAGAUUGAACGCUGGCGGCAGGCCUAACACAUGCAAGUCGAGCGGUAGCACAGAGAGCUUGCUCUCGGGUGACGAGCGGCGGACGGGUGAGUAAUGUCUGGGAAACUGCCUGAUGGAGGGGGAUAACUACUGGAAACGGUAGCUAAUACCGCAUAACGUCGCAAGACCAAAGUGGGGGACCUUCGGGCCUCAUGCCAUCAGAUGUGCCCAGAUGGGAUUAGCUAGUAGGUGGGGUAAUGGCUCACCUAGGCGACGAUCCCUAGCUGGUCUGAGAGGAUGACCAGCCACACUGGAACUGAGACACGGUCCAGACUCCUACGGGAGGCAGCAGUGGGGAAUAUUGCACAAUGGGCGCAAGCCUGAUGCAGCCAUGCCGCGUGUAUGAAGAAGGCCUUCGGGUUGUAAAGUACUUUCAGCGAGGAGGAAGGCAUUAAGGUUAAUAACCUUAGUGAUUGACGUUACUCGCGGAAGAAGCACCGGCUAACUCCGUGCCAGCAGCCGCGGUAAUACGGAGGGUGCAAGCGUUAAUCGGAAUUACUGGGCGUAAAGCGCACGCAGGCGGUCUGUUAAGUCAGAUGUGAAAUCCCCGGGCUCAACCUGGGAACUGCAUUUGAAACUGGCAGGCUUGAGUCUUGUAGAGGGGGGUAGAAUUCCAGGUGUAGCGGUGAAAUGCGUAGAGAUCUGGAGGAAUACCGGUGGCGAAGGCGGCCCCCUGGACAAAGACUGACGCUCAGGUGCGAAAGCGUGGGGAGCAAACAAGGUUAGAUACCCUGGUAGUCCACGCUGUAAACGAUCUCUAAAGGGAGGGUGUUCCCCUUGAGGAGUGGCUUCCGAAGCUAACGCGUUAAGUCGACCGCCUGGGGAGUAACGGCCGCAAGGUUAAAACUCAAAUGAAUUGACGGGGGGCCCGCACAAGCGGUGGAGCAUGUGGUUUAAUUCGAUGCAACGCGAAGAACCUUACCUACUCUUGACAUCCAGA